AAAUGUGAAAAAAAACUUAUGUUGAGAUAAUGUGGUGGUGAAAGUAUGUUUGAUUUAUUAUAUCCGAAAUCAUAUUAUAAAAAUUGACUUAAAUGAUUUGAUUUAAUUUUUAGGAGCGAACGCGAUGGUCUUGAAGUUGUUAGAAAUCCAAAGAGGCCUAUCGGCGCUUGGAUACAUUACUAUAAUGAUCAAUUAGCCAUGAUGAAAGAGAAGGAUAAAGGAGUGAAGAUAAAUGAUGAUUUGAGGAAAAAAUUGGGCAAGAAGUGGAAUGCACUUUCAAAAGUAGAAAAAGAAAAUUUCAUGGCAAAGUCCAAAGAAAGUUCAAAACAAUAUUCACUUCAAAAGGGUGUGGUUCCAAAGUUAUAUCUUCAGACUCGAUGCUCCCCCGAGUGAGUGAUUAGAGUGAUUGAAAAAUUAGAACCAAAGCAAAAGGCAGCCAUAGAAGAAAUAGGAUUUGGUAGCCUCUUGCAACUUCGAUGUAGGAAAAUUGAUCAUGGGUUAUGUCUUUGGUUGAUAAAUAGUUUUAAUCCGAACACUUAUAUGUUACAGUUGUAUAAUACU